UACGAAGGGGGCUAGCGUUGCUCGGAAUCACUGGGAGUAAAGCGCACGUAGGCGGCUUUUUAAGUCAGGGGUGAAAUCCUGGAGCUCAACUCCAGAACUGCCUUUGAUACUGAGAAGCUUGAGUCCGGGAGAGGUGAGUGGAACUGCGAGUGUAGAGGUGAAAUUCGUAGAUAUUCGCAAGAACACCAGUGGCGAAGGCGGCUCACUGGCCCGGUACUGACGCUGAGGUGCGAAAGCGUGGGGAGCAAACAGG
rnacentral:rRNA from 1 species